rnacentral:rRNA from 1 species
CGCGUAGGUGGCUAAUUAAGUCAAAUGUGAAAUCCCCGAGCUUAACUUGGGAAUUGCAUUCGAUACUGGUUAGCUAGAGUAUGGGAGAGGAUGGUAGAAUUCCAGGUGUAGCGGUGAAAUGCGUAGAGAUCUGGAGGAAUACCGAUGGCGAAGGCAGCCAUCUGGCCUAAUACUGACACUGAGGUGCGAAAGCAUGGGGAGCAAACA